rnacentral:rRNA from 1 species
CCCUUAGAUGUCCUGGGCCGCACGCGCGUUACACUGAUGCAUUCAACGAGCUUAUAACCUUGGCCGAGAGGCCCGGGCAAUCCUGUUAACGUGCAUCGUGAUAGGGAUAGAUUAUUGAAAUUAUUAAUCUUGAACGAGGAAUUCCUAGUAAACGCAGAUCAUCAAUCUGCAUUGAUUACGUCCCUGCCCUUUGUACACACCGCCCGUCGCUCCUACCGAUUGAAUGCUCAGGUGAGCCAUUCGGACUUUCAUCAUGCUGGUUUCCAGUUUUGAUGAAGGAAAGUCUUGCGAACCUUAUCAUUUAGAGGAAGGAGAAGUCGUAACA